GAUCAUGGCUCAGGACGAACGCUGGCGGCGCGCCUAACACAUGCAAGUCGAACGAGGAGAUGAGAGCUUGCUCUUCAAAUCGAGUGGCGAACGGGUGAGUAACGCGUGAGGAACCUGCCUCAAAGAGGGGGACAACAGUUGGAAACGACUGCUAAUACCGCAUAAGCCCACAGCUCGGCAUCGAGCAGAGGGAAAAGNGCGAUCCGCUUUGAGAUGGCCUCGCUCCGG
rnacentral:rRNA from 1 species